rnacentral:lncRNA from 1 species
AGAACAUGAAAAAGAUAAUGGAAGUCUGCUAGAUUAUCCAGUUUUUGAAUUUAAAAGUGUGCAGACCAAAUAAAAUGCCUUCAAAUAAUAUCAAACCGAGUGUAAAGGCCAAAGACUUAUCAGUGGACUUUACGUCUGUACUACAUAUUGUGCACUUUACGUCUGUACCACAUAUUGCCAGUGAAAAAGUGCACAGCAUUACUCAAGCAAUAACUACUGAUUCAUGUUAUGGAAAAUCUUCUGCUCGCAUGGUGAGGUCAACAAACUAUGUUUCAAUACCUGUAGAUAGAAUUUCUGAUGAUUUUAAUAUUUAAGAGACCAAAUGAAAUAUAUGAAUCAAGCAGUGAAUCUAAAAAAGAGAGAGGUAGAGAAUUUGAACAUAGUGACAUCCCGUCACUG